GUGCUUGCUUCGGCAGCACACAUACUAAAAUCAGAAUGAUGCAGGGAAGAUUAGCAUGGCCCCUGCACAAGGAUGACACGCAAAUUUGUGAAGCGUUCAUAUUUUUA